rnacentral:rRNA from 1 species
AUGUAUCCUUUGGAAAUGGAAGGCAACUCGAACCCAAAGACGACCAACAAGCCCAAGUAUUCCAAGUUUACGCAGCAGGAGCUUCCAGCAUGCAAGCCACUACUCACACCUGAAAUCGUCAUUGCCGCCUUUGCGCUCAUUGGCGCCCUGUUUGUUCCCAUCGGGCUUGCGUCGCUGCAUGCAUCACGACAGGUUGUCGAACUGGUGCAUAGAUAUGAUGCAAGUUGUGUGCCCGUGGAUGACAAGGUUGGGUUCAUCCAGAACUCCAGGACUGACAAAACAUGCACAAUAACGAUGACUGUGCCAAAAUACAUGAAGAGCCCAAUCCAUGUCCAUUACCUGAUCGACGGCUUCUAUCAAAACCAUCGAAGGUAUGUGAGAAGUCGAAGUGACAAACAACUGCGUUAUAAGAGUGCUGCACAUUUGACAUCGGAUUGUGUGCCUGAAGGUGAUACCGCUGAUCAUGCUCCAAUUGUUCCAUGUGGCCUUGUUGCUUGGAGUUUGUUCAACGACACAUAUACAGUUCGGGUCAAUGGGGUGGUUACUCAAGUGAAUAAAAAGGACAUAGCUUGGAAGAGUGACAAGAACAAUAAAUUCGGCAAGAAUAUCUAUCCCAGUAACUUCCAGAAGGGAAGGCUUAUAGGUGGCGCUACACUAAAUGAGAGCAUACCAUUAAGUGAGCAAGAAGAUCUCAUUGUCUGGAUGAGAACUGCUGCCCUCCCAACUUUCAGGAAGCUGUAUGGCAGAAUUGAGAAAGAUAUCAAUGCAAAUGAUAAUGUAACAGUGGUUAUACAGAACAACUAUAACACAUAUAGUUUUGGAGGAUCAAAAGCGUUGGUCCUUUCUACUGCAUCUUGGAUUGGAGGAAAAAACAACUUCAUUGGUUUUGCAUAUCUGACUAUUGGUGGUUUGUGCCUUUCCCUUGCUAUGGGCUUCUUAGUUCUCUACAUAGUUAAACGAAGGAACUUUGCAGACCCCUCGAACCUCUCAUGGAAUAGAUGA